rnacentral:rRNA from 1 species
GUGAGGAAUUUUCCGCAAUGGGCGAAAGCCUGACGGAGCAAUGCCGCGUGAAGGAUGAAGGCCUAUGGGUUGUAAACUUCUUUUCUUGGAGAAGAAUAUUGACGGUAUCUGAGGAAUAAGCAUCGGCUAACUCCGUGCCAGCAGCCGCGGUAAUACGGAGGGUGCAAGCGUUAUCCGGAAUCAUUGGGUUUAAAGGGUCCGCAGGCGGGAUUGUAAGUCAGUGGUGAAAUCCGGCAGCUCAACUGUCGCACUGCCAUUGAUACUGCAGUCCUUGAAUUCGAUUGGAGUGGGCGGAAUAUGUCAUGUAGCGGUGAAAUGCUUAGAUAUGACAUAGAACACCGAUAGCGAAGGCAGCUCACUAAGUCUGAAUUGACGCUCAUGGACGAAAGCGCGGGUAGCAAACAGGAUUAGAUACCCUGGUAGUCC